AUUUUUAUUCCAAUAAAACUUGAUUCAAUAACCCCCAUGAAUAUUUCAUUUGCAAGAGGCUGGCCCCUCCUGCGGCUGCCUUGGUCUUAGGCCAAUUUUGCCCUCCCUCCCCUGGGGGCAGCACAAGCCUCUCCUCCAGGAACCCAGCAGCUCUGAGGGAGGCUAGGGAACCGCAAGCCCCUUCCAGCCCCGCAGCCAGCAGCAGACCGGCUCCUCCAGGGGGCCUGGCGCUGUUUCCGGAAUGCUGCUGAGAGCUUCGGAUGGAGAAUUGGGUUGGAAUACUGCUUGCUGGGUGACCUCGGGCUGGGAGACUGUGGUCCUGGAGCUGUUGGUGUGUAUCUCUGCUAUUACUUGGGAAGAGAAGACUUCAGAACAAAGCCAACACAAAGGAAAACCGAGGCAAGGUGCAGACAGAUUGCUGACAACAUCAUCUGAGCCCCUGGUGUGGCUGGGCCUGAAGCAACAUCCACCUCUGUUCUUUCCAGUUACAAGAGGCAACAAAUCCCCAUUUCUGCCUAAACCUUAGGUUGGGUUUCUGUCUUUUGCAAUAAAAAGUAUUGUUUAAUGGUAUCUGAAGCCUGUCUUUCCAAUUCACUAAUGAAAGCUUUCUUCCUUCCCAGGGAAAUGUCUGGGGGAAAGACUGGCAUUAGGUUGAAAGAAAUGGUGAGACUUCCUGCUGGCUGGUCCCAAUUCCCUCACUCCUGGAGAUAUCUUUAAGAAUUACAGUGCCGGCCGGGCGCAGUGGCUCACGCCUGUAAUCCCAGCACUUUGGGAGGCCGAGGUAGGCGGAUCACGAGGUCAGGAGAGCGAGACCAUCUUGGCUAACACAGUGAAACCCCGUCUCUGCUAAAAAUACAAAAAGUUAGCCAGGUGAGGUGGUAGGCGCCUGUAGUCCCAGCUACUCAGGA
rnacentral:lncRNA from 1 species